rfam:Vagococcus teuberi strain DSM 21459, complete genome.
AACAGAGUAGGAAAUAUAGCGUCAAGUGCUACUAGGAUGGGAUGUUGCCUAGUGGACGAAAAGCACAAGUGGAGUGCUUGCGGCCAUAUUUCUGCAUUCGCUGCA